rnacentral:rRNA from 1 species
GUAGGUGGCAAGCGUUGUCCGGAUUUAUUGGGUUUAAAGGGUGCGUAGGCGGUCUAAUAAGUCAGUGCUGAAAUAUCCCGGCUUAACCGGGAGGGUGGCAUUGAUACUGUUGGACUUGAGUAGAGUUGAGGUUGGCGGAAUUGACGGUGUAGCGGUGAAAUGCUUAGAUAUCGUCAAGAACACCGAUAGUGAAGACAGCUAACUAAGCUCAAACUGACGCUGAGGCACGAAAGUGUGGGGAUCAAACAGG